rnacentral:rRNA from 1 species
CGACCGGCGCACGGGUGAGUAACACGUAUCCAACCUGCCGUCUACUCUUGGACAGCCUUCUGAAAGGAAGAUUAAUACAAGAUGGCAUCAUGAGCCCGCAUGUUCACAUGAUUAAAGGUAUUCCGGUAGACGAUGGGGAUGCGUUCCAUUAGAUAGUAGGCGGGGUAACGGCCCACCUAGUCUUCGAUGGGUAGGGGUUCUGAGAGGAAGGUCCCCCACAUUGGAACUGAGACACGGUCCAAACUCCUACGGGAGGCAGCAUG